GCAGAGUAGAACCUGGUGCGUUAAGUGUCAUUCGGACGGGGAGUUGUCGAUGAACGAAAUCUAAAGAUGUGUUAUCAGGUUCGCAUCCCGCUGC
rnacentral:ncRNA from 1 species